AAGUUGCUGUUACUUUAAAAUAAUAAAGAUGACUUUUCUAUUUUAGUACACUUUGUUGGCAAACAAAAAAUAAUAAUGAAGAAGUACAGAGAUAUCAACAUCCUUGAACCAGAAACUGAGAAUCAAAGACUAACUUUCAGAGCUUUUUGAGAGAUUUAUUUCAGGAUGAAGUAUCUAUGCAAAUGGACAGAAUCUUCUAUCCAUGGGUGGCCCUAGUCCUUGUGGAAUGGUUGGAAGACUUCAUCUUACUAGGGCACUGCAAGAUUUUGGCCUAUGCCCCAUAAGACCUCUGACUAACAUGGCUGCUACUCUGAAACCUGAAUUUACUCUCUGUAUUUUGUACAAUAACUCCUCAUUGGACAAUUGAAUCUUCAGUGUCAUUAAUUUAGAAGGAUAUUUACCAACUUGCAGGAGAAAUCUGGAAAUAUUCUCCUACGAAAUGUUGCCCUGAUUUCUUCUUAUGUAUUUGAGUUCUUCUAGCUAAAUAACCAGUCUCCACAAACACCAAACUAUCUCUACUUUCUCUCUCUGAUGACAUGUAGAAGCGAUUAUACUGGGAAUUUGUUUCAUUGGCCUCUGUCCUUUGCAUACUAGCUCAGGCUUCCAUUUUCUUUAACGUUGGCUAUCAAAUAACUGUUAGAUUGUAACAACUUUUGGUUACCUCUGACCUGGUCUGGUUUUAGACCAGUGACCUAAGUUUUAAUCUCAUUUGCCAAAGCUCUCUGUUAUGUAUUGCUUCCCCCCAUUAGAUACUUGAUUAGCUUGUCAUUAUAAACUAACGGAGAAUGCUAUGUGUGGUUUUUUUCUAAUGUGGCUUGAUUUAAAAUUUUGGCUAAGAAGUUUCAGCAGUCUGUAUUCUGCUUUUAUAAAAUCUCUGAACCAUUCUGUCAUUACAACUUUGCUAUAAUAAAUCACUGACAUUUUUUCUACA